CCACCUCCUGACAUCUCAGGGUUGUCCGCAGCUGGGGAGACGGUGGUCCCAUCCUCAGAGAGCUUCCCUUCCUUCUGCUCCAUCUCUGGAAAGAGAAGACAAGCAGACCUGGUCAUGCCCCAGCCCAGCAUGAGGUGAAGACCCCACCCUCAGAGAGCUCUGGCCUGGGAGUCAGGAAGUCCGUGGUUCAGUCUUGGCUCCUACUUGGACAUGGGGCCCAAUCACGAAGGAGAGAGAAGUGCUUCCCCAAAGCUGGGAUGGUUGGGCUACAUUGACAUGACGUUGGAUGGUGUUCACCUGAUGCCCCUCGUGGGGAAUGAGUGAAUGGUGCAGUUUGAAGAACACAUUAAGUCUUGAAAGUUGGAAAGUUCACCAGUACCCUUCUUUCCCUCACCCAAGAUUAGCCCUGGUGGCAGCCGAAAUUGCUUUUAUUAUCUCUUUGUGGCUGAGGACCUCUAACUGUUGAAGAAAACAUAUUUUACACGUCUUGUCUUUCUGCGAACAGGAAGCCUAUCUCGCUUAUCUUUGCAACCCCAGACGGGGCUUAGUGUGACCUACACACAGCAGUAAUCGCACAACGUCCCGUGGAGCACUGCUUCUCAAAUUUGGCUGUACAUACGAAUCACCUGGGGAAUUUUAAAUUGUAUUGCUGCCUGAGGAAUUUUAAACUGUACUCCCAGAGAUUCUGAUUUAAUUGAAAUGAGGUGAGUCCUGGGCACUGGGAUGUUUAAAAACGUUCCAGGUGAUUUUAACGCGAAACAAAAACAGAACCGCUGUUUGGGGGCGUUCUUCCUUCUCCACGCCUGAUUUGCGCACAGGAGUCGGCUGUCUGGAACGGGGGUGAGGUUCACAGGUGUCUGUCGCCACGCCUCUUCCUACAGAACCAAUAAACUGAAGCCG
rnacentral:lncRNA from 1 species